CUUAGUGAUUUGGCUCAUGAAGAAACUAUAAAGGAGGGCUCGUCGUCGGCAGCGUUCCUCGGGUAAUUUCCC